rnacentral:rRNA from 1 species
AUUGAACGCUGGCGGCAUGCCUUACACUUGCAAGUCGAGCGGUAACAGGUCUUCGGAUGCUGACGAGUGGCGAACGGGUGAGUAAUACAUCGGAACGUGCCUAGUAGUGGGGGAUAACUACUCGAAAGAGUGGCUAAUACCGCAUGAGAUCUACGGAUGGAAGCAGGGGAUCGCAAGACCUUGUGCUACUAGAGCGGCCGAUGGCAGAUUAGGUAGUUGGUGGGAUAAAAGCUUACCAAGCCGACGAUCUGUAGCUGGUCUGAGAGGACGAUCAGCCACACUGGGACUGGGACACGGCCCAGACUCCUACGGGAGGCAGCAGUGGGGAAUUUUGGACAAUGGGCGAAAGCCUGAUCCAGCAAUGCCGCGUGCAGGAUGAAGGCCUUCGGGUUGUAAACUGCUUUUGUACGGAACGAAAAGCCCUGGGUUAAUACCCUGGGGUCAUGACGGUACCGUAAGAAUAAGCACCGGCUAACUACGUGCCAGCCGCCGCCGUAA